rnacentral:rRNA from 1 species
UACGGGGGGAGCAAGCGUUGUUCGGAUUUACUGGGCGUAAAGGGCGCGUAGGCGGUCAGCACAAGUCAGUUGUGAAAUCUCCGGGCUUAACUCGGAAAGGUCAACUGAUACUGUGCGACUAGAGUGCAGAAAGGGGCAACUGGAAUUCUCGGUGUAGCGGUGAAAUGCGUAGAUAUCGAGAGGAACACCAGUGGCGAAGGCGAGUCUCUGGACGACUCCUGACACUGAGGCACGAAAGCUAGGGGAGCAAACAGG